GCCAGUGUGGCUCAGUGGAUAGAGCGUCAGCCUGCAGACUGAAGAGUCGCAGGUUCGAUUCCUGGUUAAGGGCA
rnacentral:tRNA from 1 species